CCCUUAGAUGUUCUGGGCCGCACACGCGCUACACUGAAGGAGGCAGCGUGUACUCCUGGAUCGAAAGAUUUGGGUAACCCGCGAAUCUCCUUCGUGCUAGGGAUUGAGGUUUGCAAUUAUCCUUCAUGAACGAGGAAUUCCCAGUAAGUGCAAGUCAUAAGCUUGCGCUGACUACGUCCCUGCCCUUUGUACACACCGCCCGUCGCUACUACCGAUUGAAUGGUCCGGUGAAUCUCAUGGACUGAAGUUUUGGCUAGCUUGCUAGAUUCGAAACAUUAGGAAGUGAGGUAAACCUUAUCAUUUAGAGGAAGGAGAAGUCGUAACA
rnacentral:rRNA from 1 species